UUGCAAUUUAUUUCUCUCUAUUAAAUAUUUACACUCCCCUUUCUCAAACCCAUACUCUCGUCCCCUCUUUACAAUCAGUUCUCUCUCCACAACCACAACCCACACCACCAUCGGUCCUCCUCUCCCACAACUCUGAAAGUCUUCUCUACUCUUCUGCUUCCCCCAAAACCAAAAUCUCUGAAAAUUUUUCUAAAAACUAAAACUAAAACCUGUAACAUGCGACUCGGACUGAGACUCAGGGUUGCUAGGAACACAACCCAGCAGAUUGGUAGUAGAUUGAGUUUGAGAAGAAACUAUGGGGUCAAAGAUAAUAAAUUUGAGGUGGAUGCCUAGGCUCUUAUGCUCAAGGGUGUGAAGGAAGCUUACUUAUGUUAUCAAGGUGGUGACAGCCUUCUAAUCAGCUCCCACCAAGCUUGACGUUCCCAUCUAAAAAAAAAAAAACCAAUUAGGCCAAAAAAAUUACUUUUAUCCUCACCUUCACACAAGUUAACUUUUAAAAACCCACACGGUUGAAGAUAAAGAACAGAGUCCUGCCUUCACUAGCCUGCCACCACCGGUCAGUCAGCAAAACCACUACUGGUAAAACUAAUUUCUUGCGUUUUCCCCUUUCAGUUGUAAUACUUGGGAUUUUCUUUCUUAAUCUUCUUCUCUUCUGAGUGAGAGUUUGUUUGUGUAAUUUGGGUGGCUCAAUUUCUUUUUCCUUCCCCUCGAUGUUCACACUGUCACGUUACCGUAUUGUGCUUUUUCCUGAGACUUCGUAAGGGUGUGGAGAGAGUUUAGAAGGCUGUCACCACCGGUCUACUGUCACCGUCAGAUGGCUAGAACCGCUGCAGGUAAAGAUAAAUUCUGAUGAUGGGUUUCAUUGGUAAUAAAAAGAGAUAUUUGGAUGACUAGUCUAAAGUUUGAAGAUUUCAAGAAUUGCAAGAUGACAACAUGUACAUUUUGUGGGUAAAGGUUGCUGGCCAAAUCUGGUGUGGCAUGGGGUUACAUUCAUGAGGUAUCAUGGUGACAUUCCAUCUUUGUUUGUAUGAUCAUCUCUAAUAAGCUUGGCUAUAUACCAUUGUAACUUGUCAUGUUGUAGAACUUUUAGAGGUCAACAUGAAUGAUUACCGUUAGGUUCUGAAUCUGUUGAUGAAAGUUUAAUUUGAGUGUUUUCAAUUUGUCAAUAGAAUGUUCAGAUUUCUAACCAAAGGUUGGUAAAACUUUCAAAGACAUGGAAGGGAUAUAGUUUACUGCUUAUGCAGUCUUAUGUUGUAAAAUCACCAUAACCAUGAAUCACUUGGAAGUUUUGAGGAAUUUUCUGGUGGGAUCUUUUGAUUUUUGGGAAGCUCUGCCUCACUUGUCUGUACUUUUUUUUGUCCCCCCACCCUCCCUUCUUUUUAAGAAAGAUUGGCAGGAUUUUUAUGUUAUGCUUAAGGCAAGCUUAAAUACUAUUUUUAUUUGUAAUAUCACUAUGAGAUUUUUUUGUUCCAUAAUGCAUGAGGCGAACUGUAGGUAGGAAAGGUUUGGUAGUUAUUGGAGGAAAAUCCCUAUAACUUGGAAACUAAAUAGAGCUCUCUUAUCAAUUUGAUUGAUUAUCAAGUUGGCUUUUCAUUUCACUAUAUCUGCUCUGCCGCAGAUGUGUAUUUUUUCUUUUUAAAAAGGCUUUGAUUGCAUUGUUUUUUCUUUGACAUUUUGGCCAUUUGAGUGACUUGAUGUGCUUGUAGCCUAAUGGUAUUCAAAAAUUAUGAAAUGGACAUGUGUCACGAAAGAUAGCCUCUUCAUGGUGAAAUUUAUGCAAAUUGAUAUGAAGACGAAGCCACUUAUCAAAAAAACAUAUAUGAUGACAAAGCUAAGGCCCUUUAUUCACACAUUUUUAAAAGAAGAAAGUGAAAUGUUUGAGAUGUACAUUUAUACAAUGAGUGAUCACCUAUCGGCACUAUGCAAUGUAAAUGGCUAAGCUACUUGAUCCUUCACUAUGAGAUUUUUUUGUUCCAUAAUGCAUGAGGCGAACUGUAGGUAGGAAAGGUUUGGUAGUUAUUGGGGGAAAAUCCCUAUAACUUGGAAACUAAAUAGAGGCUCUCUUAUCAAUUUGAUUGAUUAUCAAGUUGGCUUUUAAUUUCACUAUAUCUGCUCUGCCGCAGAUGUGUAUUUAUUCUUUUUAAAAAGGCUUUGAUUGCAUUGUUUUUUCUUUGACAUUUUGGCCAUUUGAGUGACUUGAUGUGCUUGUAGCCUAAUGGUAUUCAAAAAUUAUGAAAUGGACAUGUGUCACGAAAGGUAGCCUCUUCAUGGUCAAAUUUACGCAAAUUGAUAUGAAGACGAAGCUACCUAUCAAAAAAACAUAUAUGAUGACGAAGCUAAGGCCCUUUAUUCACACAUUUUUAAAAGAAGAAAGUGAAAUGUUUGAGAUGUACAUUUAUACAAUGAGUGGUCGCCUAUCGGCACUAUGCAAUGUAAAUGGCUAAGCUACUUGAUCCUCUAGGAGAGUACUUAAGUGCUAAAGUGAUUUCACGUAAGCAUGGCACCCAAGAACAUCAAAAGGGUCUUGAUAUCUUGCUUGGCCAAGAUAGUGCUAUAUUGAUUCUUGAUGAUGCAGAAGAUGUAGGUACAUUUGUGUUCAGCUGAAUAUCUAUGCUUAACCAAUUUAUUUUCACUUUAAUUAAUAUGAUAAUAUUUGUUACACAAUACUUUUGAUCUUACUGUUUUACCCACUAAAAGAAGAGGAAGUUCUUUCAACAUUAUGAGUCCUUUUAUUUGUAGGGAAGAGAGUCAGAUUACGAAAAUGGGCCAUUUCAUCAUUAUUUGAAGUAUGUUGUAGUUUCAUUCUCAAAGGUUCUUGCUACAUCAUAUUAAACUAGACCUGUUUGUGUUUUGAAAUUAACUUGAACUCUUAUAAAAAAAGACAUGGUUUUGUAUCUACUCUAUGUGAAACACCAUAAAGAAGUAAACUUUAACUUUUCAGUUUUAAAUUAUAAGCUUUUUUUAUUCACUUUGGUUUCUCUUUAGUCAAACUAAGAAGGGUGAAGGAAAAUUAAAAAACAAAAAACAAAAACUUGCUUAUGGAUUUUAUGAGAUGCAUACAUGUUGAUUGUGACUUUUAUACUGUAGAAUGAUGAAUAGAAUUGAGAAGUAAAUAUGACAUUGUUUAGGAGCCACUUGAAAUAGUGAAGAAGCCUAAAGGUUGCUUCUAAUGUUGCUGUACUUGGAUUAUUCAAAAGUUAUGUAGACAUGUUUAUGCAUUAAUAUGUGAUGUAUCUUUUUGGCAAAUUUUACAUAUAUGAUGUUCUUUGGUAAACAAUUUUUUUUUUUUUGGUUCUGUGUAUAUGUGUAAUUUUUGUUAUCUUAAUUUUUAUUUAUCAAAAACACAUCAUUUAUCCUAAUACUUGAAUGUCUAGAUGAAGGAUUUGCACUUGAUCCAUUGAGACCAAAUUCGAUCAUGCAAGUGAUUCUG